rnacentral:misc_RNA from 1 species
AAGUCGUAACAAGGUUUCCGUAGGUGAACCUGCGGAAGGAUCAUUAACGAAUUUCUCAAAGUUGCUUACAGCGUUGUGCGGUCAUUCGCAUAUGUUGAAGGUAGCUCUUGAGCAUUUCACACAUAUCCCCUGUGCACCUUAAGAGGGUAACUGUUUUAUCUUGAGCGCGUUGUGCUCGAUAGGACGUGUUGCCCUCUCUUUACAAAAUCUUAUGUCUAGAAUGUCUGAUAAAAUUAAACAAAAUAACUUUCAACAACGGAUCUCUUGGCUCUC